rnacentral:rRNA from 1 species
AUGCCGCCAUCGCACCUCGCCGCCACCGCGGCACAAUCUCCGGCCUCGUCGCGAGGUCGGCGUCCCCGCCAUGGCGGCACGAUGAUAUCCGCCUCCUGCUGUCGCGCCGCGGCCCUCGCCGCCGCCGCGGCCACCGCGUUCCUCACCUUCUCGCUGCCAUUGUCCCCCAGCGUGUCCACCACAAGGCACACGGGAGAAUUGUCCGCCGCGAGCUCGACGCCGCCGCCACAUCCAACAUUAGCUACGGUGUCACCUCCACCGCCGUCCCCGCCGCCUCCAAAACCAGCUACGUCCGCGGCGACGCCUCGAAAACGAGAGCCGUCGUAUUGGAGGAUGGCGCCGGAGGAGGCGCUGAGGUACGCCAAGAAGGAGAUAAUGGCCGCCGAGCCGGUCGCCGCCGCCGACCCCGACCUGUACGCGCCCCUCUUCAAGAACGUCUCCCAGUUCAAGAGGAGCUACCAACUGAUGGAACGGAUACUCAAAGUUUACAUUUACCAGGACGGUCGGCGGCCCAUCUUCCACACCCCUCCCCUCAGCGGCAUCUACGCGUCCGAGGGCUGGUUCAUGAAGCUCCUCAAGAAGAGCAGGCCGUUCGUCGUCGCCGACGCCGCCAAGGCGCACCUCUUCUACCUGCCCUACAGCUCGCAGAACCUCAGGCUCUCGCUCUACGUGCCGGACUCGCAUAACCUGCGCCCACUGGCCGUCUACCUCAGAGAUUUCGUCAAGGGCCUCGCCGCCAAGUACCCCUUCUGGAACCGCACCAGAGGCGCCGACCAUUUCCUCGUCGCCUGCCACGAUUGGGGACCUUACACGACCACGGCGCACCGCGACCUGUCCAGGAACAGCAUCAAGGCGCUGUGCAACGCCGACAGCUCGGAGGGGAUCUUCACGCCCGGGAAGGACGUGUCUCUCCCGGAGACGACCAUCAGGACGCCCAAGCGGCCCCUCCGGUACGUCGGCGGGCUCCCCAUCUCCCGGCGGCACAUCCUCGCCUUCUUCGCGGGCAACGUGCACGGCAGGGUCAGGCCGGUCCUCCUCCAGCAUUGGGGCAAGGGGCAGGACGAGGACAUGAGGGUGUACGCUCUCCUCCCCGGUAGGGUCUCCAGGACGAUGACCUACAUCGACCACAUGAAGAACAGCAGGUUCUGCCUGUGCCCCAUGGGGUACGAGGUGAACAGCCCCAGGAUCGUGGAGGCCCUGUACUACGAGUGCGUGCCGGUGAUCAUCGCCGACAACUUCGUGCUCCCCUUCAGCGACGUGCUCGACUGGAGCGCCUUCUCAGUGGUGGUCGCGGAGAAGGACAUACCGGACCUCAAGAAGAUACUCCAGGGGAUCUCGCUCCGGAGGUACGUGGCCAUGCACGACUGUGUCAAGCGGCUCCAAAGGCACUUCUUGUGGCACGCCAGGCCCCUCAGGUAUGAUCUCUUCCACAUGAUUCUGCACUCCAUUUGGCUCAGCAGAGUGAACCAUGUUCAACUUGACAACUGA